rnacentral:lncRNA from 1 species
GUUCUGCUUUCAGCAGCUACUUUUCUGGUUUGAAGGGGGGAAGGAAAAAAAAACUGGGGAGAACUAGGCGGCUUUCUGAUCAGAGUUCAGAUAAAAAGGGUCACAGUAAUUUGUGGGCACUGACUAAAAUAACCCAAUGGAUUUGAGAGUUACCGCAAAAGAAGCAAACAGACAAACUAAAGAGAACUUGAACUUGGGUACUGACAAAUGAAGAUGAUGAACUUAUGUUUUUUACCUUCUUACCGUGUAUAACUCCUACUUGAAGAGUGUGAGAGAAUAUUUACUACUCGGAUGUUUGAGACAUACCAAAAAAUGCUUUUUGAUCCUUUAUCAAGAAGACGUAAUGACCAAGAUUGAUAAAGAAAAAUGCAAUGGUUACUUUACCUGCAACCAUCUCAAAGACGCUCUAAUGUCAUUUCAGAGGACUUCAGCCAUGAACUUGGUGAUGAGCCAGAGAAGGUAACUUUUCAUCCCCUACAAGACCUGAACUGAUUCAGAAUCCCAUAUCACAUUUUGUUAUUACUUUUGCCUGGUCUCCUGCUGUCUGGAACAGUUUUUCAGUCUUCCUUCAUUUUCAAGAGUGUGAAAGGAUCCCAAGACCAAAAGUCUGGGAACUGCUGGUUUAGAGUCACAAUACUGACUGCUCAAAAUGACUUUUUAAAGAAGAAAGCCUUAAAAACCCUUGAGUGAAUGGUUGGUAUUUACAGACAAGCAAAUGUAUGGAAGAGAAACGAGAGACCCAGCCUGAAUCUGUUGAAUGAACGAAAGGGGAAAUGCCCUAAGGAGUCAGAUGGAAGAAGUUUUUCUGGGAAGAGCAGAACACAGGAGUUGGGGUGCAGACCUCCUGGAUCACCAGCAGAAGGAAAAGAGCAGUGAGACGUUAAAGUGAUUGAGACAAAAAUGGAAGUAAAACAGCUUAAGGCUUUCUGAGAUCGAGUUCCUGGCAGUGUCAUCAGCAGAUGGUUUCUUCUGAAGUUCAGGGGAAGAGAAGAUGCUCGAAGAACUCUCCAGGGACUGAGUGGGUGGUACAGAGCUAGUGCUGUAGAUGCCAUGUAUACAGGCAAAUUCCCCAAUGAGUGUUUUCCAAUAUCAAGUUUAACUGGCAUUUAAGAUAUAUGCCAAAGGUAGGUAAAUUAUUUUGGCCUGUGCUUAUAGGUUUAUUUCCCUGGAUGAAGCUUUCUGUCUCUGUCCUAGUGCACUGUAGCAGAUGCAGGGUCUUUCCAUACAAUACAUUAAAAGCUGCAUCUCAUUUUAAAUAUAUUAUAGAAACCCUGAUCAUACAAUACAUACAAGAUUUUUAAGAUCAGCCUUCAGUCGAUUUUUUUGCUUUAUUUUUGUUCUGGAGGUCAAAAUGAGUGGUUAACUGUCUAAGUUGAUUGCAGAGAAAGUUACUACUCAUUCUAAACGUAGGUUUUUAGAAAAGUGUUCUUGGCAGUUGCUACCAUUGGCUUUUUCCAACUUACAUGGGAAUCAAGAUUCAGAACUGGUACACCAAUGGGAAGAGCCUGGAAAAUAGACUAUUGAUCAAGAUGAAUCUGGUCCAGAUACUUUAAGACCUUUUCAGUGUGUUUUUAAGAUUAUAAGUUUGAACUAACAGAAACUUCAAUGCUGUUUUUUCACAAGUCAAUGUGUAGUGUACUGUUAUUCUUUUUUUUCCUGUAAUAUCUUAAUAAUAUUCCUGGCUGUAAGAAAAAGUUAACACUAUACCUAUGUUUUGACUUACUUUAUAGAAGACCCAAACAAUAUUUAACAAAAGGAUUUUUCUCAAAUACUAUUUUGAAAUCACUAUAUUAGACACUAUCUUAAAUUUAUUUCUCAAUUUGCUUCUUUUUGAAACUUCCACAUUUUGGUGUUCUUUUCAGCAUCACUCAUUUUCUUUCAUAAUAAAGAUACCCAAUAACAAUAUCAUAAUAAAGAUUUGAUAACAAAUCUCCAGUUUUGGAGUGUUACAUUUCAUAUCUACAUGCUUACAGAGAAUUUAGUAUGAAUAUUCCCUGGCCUUAGUUCCUCUAAGCCUAGGAUACUUGUAGUCAUUUGGCAAAUAAUUUAAUCCAUGGCAAACAUGAGUCUUAAUACAAAAAUUAUUGAGUAGGCAAAAAAUAAUUGAACAUAUUUUGGACUGAUUACCAGUGCAUUAAAAAAGUAGAGGUUUAAGGAUGAGAAUAAUAAGUUUUUUUGUUUUUACUUAAAUUUAUAUAAAAGGAGUGAAAAUACAGUAGCCUAUAGUACUUAAGAGUGUGGGUAUAUUUUCAGCACUUAAUAAUUACUAGUUGAAUUGCAUAAUAUGGGACUAUAACUGAUAUGGUUUGGCUCUGUGUCCCCGCCCAAAUCUCAUGUUGAAUUAUAAUUUCCAAUAUUGGAGGAGGUACCUAGUGGGAGGUGACUGGAUCAUUGGGGGAAAUUUCCCCCUUGCUGUCCUCAUGAUAGUGAGUGAGUUCUCACAAGAUCUGAUGGUUUAAAAGUGUGUGGCAUUUCCCCCUUUACUCUUUCUCUCUCCUGCUGGCCAUGAGAAUAAGUGCUUGCUUCCCAUUCACCUUCUGCCAUGCUUGUGUUUCCUGAGGCUUCCCAGCCAUGCUUCUUGUUCAAGCUGCAGAACUGUGAGUCAAUUAAACCUCAUUUCUUCAUAAAUUACCCAGUCUCAGCUCUUUAUGGGAGUGUGAGAAUGGACUAAUAAAAUAUCUCUAGAAUUAUGUUUUUGGAGAUAAUUUAAAGAUAAACAAAUAUUGGAAACCUCAUUUGAUCACACAGAGAACAGUAAAUGGAAGUUCUACUUUUUCUCCAGGGCCUUUCUCAUGCUUAUGCAGGGAUUAUUCACCCAGAUAUCCUGAAAUAAGACAUCCAAUUAAGGUACCUGCUAUCUCAUGUAACACAGAAGAAAGUUGAGCAUAGAGGUUAAACAUUACCUAAUAUUGUUGGAAAAGCUUCGAAGCGUUCAUUUUCAAAGCAGCUAAUGUAAACCAUGAUAAUCACUAGUAGCACUAUGCCAUUUUAAAUACUUCAAUAUUUUGUAGUUAUUAGAUUCUAAGUAAGUAUAAAAUGUAGUGAAUACAAAUUUUAUUUGCCUAAACAGUGUUAGACAAUAUAAAUUAACGAGUUAUUUUUUAUUCUGUUUAAUAUUUUCAAGCCAAUAAACACUUUACUAAAGUA